CCUACUCCCCAAGCCAUUUAUUAGUCCCCUUCCGCAAAUGGCUCCGUGGCCGCGUUCCCAAACUGUCCCAGCCAAUGUACACUCUUCGGAUUGGGGUUGCAGAACAGUAGCACGUGAAUAAUUUGUCCCCAGCAGAGCCACCGUAGCUUGCUUCUAGGCGCGUGCGCGGCCUGUGCGGCGAGUACGCGGCAAGUGGUAUCGCCCCCGCGCCGGGGUCCCGAGGUGGGUUGGCGGUGUCCGGCCACAGUUCUGGGACGCGACAGGCGCUCAGUUGCUACACUCGCCGAGUGAGAGGAUUUAGGGAUGUCGGGGCCUGUACGUUUCCCUCGCUAAUAAGUACUGCUGUAGUCAACUUUGCGGAGGGCGGAACGGAGCCCAGUCCGCGUGGCGGCCUCAUCCGCCCUCGCCCGCGGCUCCCGCCAGCCGGCUCGCCUGGGCCCGCCUCGUAGGUCCGCCUCUGGGAGCGACUUUGCACCGCCUCGGGGACCCACAGCCCUUCGGGAGUGUGCACGAGCCCCUGUUACGCUCUCGUGCGCAGCCCUGGAGCGGGCUCGAGGCGGUGAGACCCCGACAGGCCUGCAGGCGGGGUCGGCCCUAGGGGGUAGAACUUGCUUCUGAGUGUUGUGAACUCAGCCGGAAGAGCCAACCCCACGAGGCACCAGGGUCUCCAGUUCUCGCGUGUUUUAAGUGCGUCCCUCUCCCCUUUCCUCUAGAUGCCCCACAUAUCACCAAUGGCCACCACCUCUGCGUCUCCCCUUUAGGAGAGUGUGCUUGGAGCCGAAGGAUUCCAAGCCAAGAUGAGAAAACACGAGCCCACAGAUCGCUCUCUGUCUCACCCAGAGGGUGAGCCCAGCACUCAGGAUGGUCUCGUGUUAUGUGGUGCAUCAGCCUGUCGCUGUCCUGACUCCCAUCUCCAGUCACCUGGCGUCCUUACUCCUUGAAACUCCAGGACAUGCUGGGACCACAGAACAGCUGGGCCAUCUUGCCUUCUAGAAUUCAGGCUCUCCACACAAGCUUUGUCCUAAGCACUUCUGCCUCUCCUUUUAAGGUUCUAAAGUUGCCAUUGUUUUGAAUCCUUCGCUCUUUUUCCCUUUGAAAAGUAGUGUUACUGAUAAUACUAUGGUUUGGAAUUCACAAGUUAUGAAAGUGAAAAGCCUUCUGUCCUUGUUUGUCCAGUCACCUUGUCCGAUCCCUUCCUUGGAAAAAACCAAUUAUCUUUCAAGCCCCCUGUGAAUCCUCCCAGAGAUAUUCUAUGCAGACACUGUACUGAUAAAUGCUAGUGUGAUGUGUAGGUAUGCUGCCUUCAUUUUUCAUGAAAUGGUUCGAGAAUAGCGUAUGAGAACGGGGCCAUUUCUGUCUGUCUCCAUUUUGAUUGAGGCUCCAAGACUCUGGUUUUAAAUACUCCUUGUUUCUCAGCAAGAUGGCAGGGGGCCUUUGCAGUCCUUGGAAAAGAGUCCUAAAAACUGGUUUUGCAAACUUGGAACCUUCACCAUUUAGGCUAUAAGAGAAUCUGGAAAGGUCAAGGUGGAGUCAAGAUUGAUUAAGAGCUUUAGCCUUGGACUUUGAGUCCGAGGUGAGUCACGCCUAUUCCCACAGGGAAGCACGCUUUUCCCUGAAGGUGGUUCUUCAAUGGAGGGGAGUGGCUUCCACACACAGGGGGCGAUGGCCAUGUCUGGAGACAUUUGGAGUUGUCCUGACUGGAGAGAGGCUACAGGUAUCCAUUGGAGAGAGGCCAGAGAUGAUGCUAAAUAUCCUGCAGGGCACAGGACAGUCCCCACAAGGAACACCAAGUACACAGCCUCAGAUGUCACUGGUGUCGAGGUUGAGGAACACUGGCCCAAGGAGAGGGGCUGCUUUGGGACCACUUGAGGAGCGGGGAGAUGUCUCUUGCAGUUGGUGAACACAGGGAACCACUGUUUGGCCCACAUGCGGAGGUGCUGAGGCUGCCUUGCUGUGUUCCUGGUGCAGAGGUGAAGUGAGGCUGCUGAGUGGAGAGGGCAGCCUGUGCUCCCGGCACGUUUGAUAAGAGGGAGCGUCAGGGGUUCUUGUGGAAUGAGAUAAGGACUGUGAUGGCAGAGCAGAACUGCUACGUGGAGGGAAGAGUGAGCUCAGCCGGGGCUAUGGAGGGAGGAAGCCGUCAUAAGUACUAACCUGUGCCAAGGGAGCCACGGGGGAGAUACAUCCAGUUGGGAUGGGGAGAGGGGAGAUGUGGUGUGUGGUUGUCUUUGAAACACCUCCCAAAGUGCUUCAGGAGAGCAUGCGUUUGGCUCAAACCCCUGGAAAGCCCAGCAAGUGUCACAU